rnacentral:rRNA from 1 species
AUUGAACGCUGGCGGCAUGCCUUACACAUGCAAGUCGAACGGUAACAGGUCUUCGGAUGCUGACGAGUGGCGAACGGGUGAGUAAUACAUCGGAACGUGCCCGAGAGUGGGGGAUAACGAGGCGAAAGCUUUGCUAAUACCGCAUACGAUCUCAGGAUGAAAGCAGGGGACCGCAAGGCCUUGCGCUCACGGAGCGGCCGAUGGCAGAUUAGGUAGUUGGUGGGAUAAAAGCUUACCAAGCCGACGAUCUGUAGCUGGUCUGAGAGGACGACCAGCCACACUGGGACUGAGAGACGGACCAGACUCCUACGGAGGCAGCAGUGGGAAUAUUGGACAAUGGGGGCAACCCUGAUCCAGCGAUGCCGCGUGUGUGAAGAAGGCCUGAGGGUUGUAAAGCACUUUAGUUGGGGAGAAGAAUCCAGAGAUGAAUAAGCUAUGGAAAUGACGUUACCCAAAGAAUAAGCACCGGCUAACUCUGUGCCAGCAGCCG